rnacentral:lncRNA from 10 species
AUAUUUUAGAAGCCAUGAUUGAAGACUGAGUUGUAACCCUGUUAACCACUGCAAGCAAGAUUCUGAUACCCAUUAUGGAUAUCAUCCUUUUCAGAACAAUUUAGUGAUCUGUAACAGGUACUAUGAAUUCUUCAUACGUCUUCAUCAAGUGAUACUACAUCGAGAAAUGUGGUCUGUGAACAUGGAGAAUAAAUAAACACUUAUACACAAAUAUUUGGAGACACCCUAAAUUAACAACUUUAAAGAAAUAGAUAAAUUAUGAUACAUUUAUAUGUUACUUUUGGGUCUUCCAUGGACAAGAUAAAUAGAAAAAUGGGCAAUGUAUAUGUGUACAGGGGAGAACAUUUGUUAUUUUGAGAGUUGAGCACUUUGUUCUUAACAGGAUAGAAACUGUUUCCAGAUAGAAGAGAAGUAGCAAGCUCAUAUGCCUAAAGGAAGCAGACAAGUGACAUAAAUGAGUGAAAUGAUCCCUGUAUAAGAGAUAACAUGGAAGAGUGAUAGUGGGGGCAUCUGUGGCAUACUGAAGAGCACUUGCCAAUCUAUACAGACAACCAAAACUCAGCUCCAGCUCAGUUGUAUCUGAGAAUGUGCACCCAUUGUUGCCAUUUCUUCUGAUUUUUUUCUAAAGGAGCUUACCGCCUGGAUUUUGCUAUACUUUUUCUGUCAUCAUAGUCAAUAGUCUAAAGGGCCAUUUCAUAUUAACCCAAGGGAUGCCAGAGGGUUUGUUUUUUGUUUUUUCUUUGCAUCUGGCUUAGAGGUCAAAAUAAAUUAAGAUCCCUUAGUGACUGUGGUUUUUGGGAACAAGGAAGCUCUCCAGAGAUAGCCCGGAUAGGCUAAAAAUAAUUUCCAAAGAAUGGCUAGACAAACUAUUCAGCAAAAAAGGGUGGAGGAAAAGUAGACAAAUGGAAAGAGGAGAGGGAAUAGGAAGUGAAGUAACACAACAGUAGGUGAAGUAAGGACUUAUAAGAACAUGGAUUUCUAAAUAUCCAAUUCACUAAGAUUGCUGUGAACCCUCGGUAAACUAUGCCAUGCAUAUAAAUACCUUGGAUGAUGGUAUUUUGAGAAAAUCAAAGGACAAUAGCUAUUUGCACAUUCCCCUUUGUUGGUGCAGGCAAGGAAGAAAAGAAUCACUCUAGGAGUUGAGAGAUGAGUGAGUUUCAAGGCUUUAAGGAAAUAAGAAAUUGAAAAGAGAGGUACCAUAAAAUAUGUAAUAUCACUUUUCUAAGAAGUGAUAGAAAAUAUAGCUAGGGUAUUGUACACCCUAUAAGACAGAAAUUAUUGAGCGUAUUAAGGUAACCCUACCUGCUAUCUCAAGAUAUCAGUGAUUUAAAGCAAUAGAAAUUUAUUUCUAUGUCAUAUUAGAGUUCAAUGGGUGGCAAGUGACAAGGUAUGAACUCUGCUCCACACAGUUAUUUAAGUUCCCAGGCUGAUAAAGGGUACAUCACACGGGUUCCAAGGUCAACCUGGACUAUCAGCUAGCUCUUGGUAGGAGAGAGAGAAAGAGUGGAUAACCAUGCAAGAUAUUUCUAUGUUCAACAUUCUGUUAGCCAUAACUCAGUCAUAUAUGGCCACACCUAAUUGUAAGAAAGGCUAGGAAUUGUGAUCUAGAUGUAUGUCCAGGAGGAAAGGAGAACUAUGUUCUCUGACUUAGCGGGGUCAAGCCAAAUUUACUUAAAUCUCAAUGAACCAGGUAACAUGUGGAGGUGGGAUGGAUGGAUGGACGGAUGGAUGGAUGGAUGGAUGGAUGGAAUAAAGAUAAAAUCCAUAGACUGAUGUAGGGGGAAAGAAAGAUAAAAAAGAGAUAAUUCUCAAAUAUUUGUGUGUUUGUAUGUGUCCAGACUUGGGAGGGGAACACAUAUAUUCAGAUACAGAUGAGCACUUUGUAUUACUUGCUCCUUCUUAGUCUUCUCCCGGAACCCCUGUGAUGUUGCCAUAGUCCACAUGAUCCUGUCUCCCAAGACAAGGACUGACUAAACUGGAGUAGACACCUUACCCAAACUAGUACAAUCAGAGCCCCAUUCAAGAGAGUUGGAACUGAGGCAGAGGAGGUGUAGCUCUGUUCUUGAACUAGGAAGUCAUAUCAGAGGCUGCCAGUUGUCCACCAGUCUCUUUUGUCCAUAGCAACACAGUUGUGGCUGGACACAUUUAAGACCAGCUAGAUCUGACAUUCCCAAGCCUCUCGCAGCUAGCUACAAUUAUCUGGUUUAUUUCAAGUCAAAGGACUAUGAAUGGAAGUCACACAUGUAACAUCUGGAUUGUCUCCUAAAGGUAAACCAUUUCUCCUGAACUAGCGCUUUUCACCCCCUCCCAUGAAUUGUAACUUGGGCAUGCCUUUGAACCAGCUUCAUCCAGACAAACUGGGCAAUGCUCUAGGGAGUGACAGAGCAAAAAAAAUAUGUAAGGAAUCUAGAUCUCAGAAUAACUGCAGGGAGUAGGCCUGUCUUAUCAACCUGGAGUGAGAUAACUUCUUUGAGUAAACUUCUUUUGAAACCACUGCAUUUUGAGGGUUCUUUGUUGCCUUUUCUGAAACCUAUACAAAGGCCAUGUAAAGCCAGAACUGGGGUAGCCACAUGCAUGGCCAAAGUUGAGAAAGCCAGUCUUCAAGAGCAGAAAAUCACCAAAAGGAAAUAAAGAUUGGAAAUACAUUCUGCCUUCGAGAAAUGAAGAGAUAAGUUGUUACUGCUGUCAGUUCAGUUACUGGUUACAUUCUUUCUUAACGUUCCUGAGUUUCAUAAAUAUGCUUUCAAUAAAUGUCCAUUUUUUAUUAAGAGAGUUUGGAUUUCCAUUGCUUAUAGCUCCAAAAACCUCUAAGAUGGCAAGAGAGCAAGAAUGAAAGCAAGAAAUACACGAAAAUGUCAAAAGUAGUCAUGUUUAUGGGGUAGAUAUGCAAGUGAUAUGAUUUGACUCUGUGUACCCACUCAAAUCUCAUGUUGAAUUAUAAUCCUCAAUAUUGGGGGAGGGACCUCAUAGAAGGUGAUUGGAUCAUGGGAGUGGAUUUCUCUCUUACUGUUCUCAUGAUAGUGAGUUCUCAUGAGAUCUGGUUGUUUAAAAGUGUGUAACACUUCCCCCUUCACUCUUUCUCUCCUGCUGCCAUGUGAAGAUGUGCUUACUUUCCCUUUGCCCUUCUACCAUGGUUGCAAUUUUUCUGAGGCCUCCUAGCCAUGCUUCCUGCACAGCCUGUGGAAUUGUGAGUCAAUUAAACCUGUUUUCUUUAUAAAUUGCCCAGUCUCCGGUAAUUCUUUUUUUUUUUUUUUUUUUUUUUUUGAGACAGAGUCUCACUCUUUUGCCCAGGCUGGAGUGCAGUGGUGCGAUCUCGGCUCACUGCAACCUCUGCCUCCUGGGUUUAAACUAUUCUCGUGCCUCAGCCUCCUGAGUAGCUGGGACUACAGGCGUGUGCCCCCAUGCCUGGCUAAUAUUUUGCAUUUUUUGUAGAGACGGGGUUUCACCAUGUUAACCAGGUUGGUCUCCAUCUCCUGACCUCGUGAUCCGCCUGCUUCAGCCUCCCGAAGUGCUGGUAUUACAGGCGUGAGCCACUGCACCCAGCCAUCUCAGGACAUUAUAUGUAAAACAAAUAUAAGAAGACUCUGAAAGUUGGAGAAAAGACGUUAGACCAUCUGGAGACCUUGGGAUCUGAGGAACAACAUAGCAUGUCAGUGAAGACCACAUGGGGACAUGGAAGCAGUGACAAGACCCCUCUACCCUCUCUCAGCAGUAAGAGGAGCCCCUCCCCAUCCCAGGUGUCAACAGAGGCUGAGUGGGAACCUGGACUUCUACCCCCACCUGGUAGUAACAAGACAGGCUCCACCCCUUUCUUUGCCAGAGUGGUGUUGGAAGAAGCCAAUAAAAACAAAAGGUGUAAAUGAGACUGAGCGUCUCAUAACGUGAUAUCCAAAAUGUCUAGCUUUCCAUCGAAGAUCAUAUCAAGAGCCAGGAAAAUCUCAACUUGAAUGGAAAAAGACAAUCAAUAGAUCCCAACAUCAAAAUGACAGAGAUGGCAGAAUUAUCUGACAAAUAUUUUAAAGACAGCCAUUAUAUAAAUGUUUGAAAUAAACUAUUACAAACAUACUUGAAACAAACAAAAAAUAGAAAGUCUCAGCAGAAGUAUAGAAGAUAUAAAGAAGAACCAGAUAAAAAUUUUAGAACCGAAAAAUACAAAAGCCGAAACAAAAGACAACAGCAGAAUAAACGAGACAGGAAGAAAAUCAAUGAACUUGAAGAUAGAGCAGCAGAAAUUAAGCAAUAUGAAUAACAGAGAGAAAAUAGACUAAAAAAAUGAAAAGAACCUCAGGGACUUAGGAAACUAUAACAAAAGAUCUAACAUUCCUGUCACUGGAGUCUUGCAAGGAGAGAAGAAAAAGGGCGGGGCUAAGAAAAGGACACAAAGAAAUCAUAGCUAAAAGCUUCCAAAAAAAGUGAUGUAAUCUUAUUGGCAAUUAAGAAUUCAAAUUGAAUAAUAAAAUGACAUUUUUAUCCUUUGCUUCUCUAAUUGGCAAAAAAUAUUUAUGAUUGAUGACAUUGCAUAUUAGUAGGUAUAUGAGAAAUGAGGAUUCUUACAGUUAGUGACAGUUUAAAUUGAUGAUAUGUUUUUCAUUAAGUUUUUCUGAAUUGUCUAUUGCUAUCAAAAUUGUAAAUGUGCACAUUCCCUGAUGCUGAAAUUACACUUCCAGAAAUAAAUCUAUCCCAUGAAAUAGCCACAUAUGUUCAGAAAUCAUAUAAACUAUAUAAAGAAUAUUUAUUGCAAUAUCAUGUGUAAUCAUGGAAAAUUACAAAUAAAAACAUCCAUUAAAACAGAAAUAGUUAAUGAAUUGUGACUUAUUUGUACUAUAGAUGUGACAGAGUUGUUUAAUAAAUGUAUGAGAUUGACUUACACAAUUUGAUAUGGAAAUAACUCUAAGUUUUAAAAUGCUAGUAAAGGAACACUAUGUAUAAUAUGGUCCCAAACACAAGUACACCAAGAAAGGUGUAUGUUUGUGAAUACAAUGCAUAGAAAGUGGACAUAGAGAUAAGACAUUUUAAGAGUAUCCCCAGCUCCAAGCUGUGUUUGCUUGAGCCUUUGAAUAAACUGAAAAAAACAGAAAAUGUCACUGUUAAAGAAUGGUGUGGAAGGACUGAUAGAGAUUAUGAGGUGAUCAAAAUCUCCCUAAAGCAAAGGUUGACAGUUAAUUGAGUUUGACAGAGGUGGGUGACAAAGGGAAAUGUUCACACUUCGUUCUCCACUCUUUUAUGUCUUUGGCUCAUGUCCA